UGGUGACCAUAGCGUCUGUGACCCACCCGAUCCCUUCCCGAACUCGGACGUGAAACCAGUCUGCGCCGAUGGUACUGUGG
rnacentral:rRNA from 1 species